GUCACAGUGGAAGGACUAAAACACAUUUUUACUUCCACUUCACAUGGAGAAAAAAACUGAUUCUAAAUUUUACACUACAUCAGAAAAUGGCAUCACUAAACAUCUCAAUCUUAUAUUUGUAUCAGUAUUAGAUAGCUUUAGCGUGUCUAUUAUCCUUUAGGUUAAACUAAAGAUAAGCACAGGGAACCCUUACAUUUACAAUUUACUUUUUGCAGAUGGUAUAAAAUGAAUAAAUAAAUAAAUAGCCACUGAAUGUGGAAUGUUUGUAUUGCAUGAAUAAAUAAGAUACAUGGAAGUUAAUGUACAUACAUACAAUACAAAUUCUUGUAUUUAAAAAUAAAAAAAAGUUCAAAAAAAUUGAAA